UCCUCCAAUCUGUUGAAGGCCAAAAUAGAGU
rnacentral:piRNA from 1 species